rnacentral:rRNA from 1 species
UGGGGAAUUUUGGACAAUGGGGGAAACCCUGAUCCAGCCAUCCCGCGUGUGCGAUGAAGGCCUUCGGGUUGUAAAGCACUUUUGGCAGGAAAGAAACGUCAUGGGUUAAUACCCCGUGAAACUGACGGUACCUGCAGAAUAAGCACCGGCUAACUACGUGCCAGCAGCCGCGGUAAUACGUAGGGUGCAAGCGUUAAUCGGAAUUACUGUGCGUAAAGCGUGCGCAGGCGGUUCGGAAAGAAAGAUGUGAAAUCCCAGAGCUCAACUUUGGAACUGCAUUUUUAACUACCGGGCUAGAGUGUGUCAGAGGGAGGUGGAAUUCCGCGUGUAGCAGUGAAAUGCGUAGAUAUGCGGAGGAACACCGAUGGCGAAGGCAGCCUCCUGGGAUAACACUGACGCUCAUGCACGAAAGCGUGGGGAGCAAACAGG